UUACAGCCGCCGCCGCCUCCGUCCACUGCCUGAUUCCCCCUUCUGCUAGUCUUCUCAGAGCUGGUCGCCGCGCGGGUCCUCGUGGUCGCCGACGGGCAGGCAACGUCCGGUUCCUGGCGCCGCAGCGGCGCAUGACCAUCCGGCGGCACGGCCGUGCUGGGUCGGUGCUCGCUCCCCGCGUUCCUCCCUUCAGCCGCGCCGCUUCAUCUGCUCCGCCCCCAGGCCCCCCUUGCCUCCGCGUCUACCUCAGCGAGCGACGCGCAAGGUCAGCUGUUUGCCCUACCAGGGCGUCCCUGCCGGCGGCUGUGCCAUGGAGGGCGUCUCCAAUCCAUGUCCGCACCGUCGCCCGCGCCGUGGAGGCCGUUCCCAUCAAGGCCCCGACCCUGCCCAUGCCCGGAUCUGCCGACCCAGCCGCCGGAUUCGGCUGUCUCCGGCCCGGCCGCCCCCGGCGCCGCCGGACGCGAGGGUGGCUCCUGAGCAUCGACCGGAGCACAGGACGGACGCGAGGGUGGCUUCUGCGGAUCCUAUAAGGAUAACUUUGUUGGUUUGGUUCCUCGGUGCUCUUCAAGGCCGCUGCCUGGUCCAUAUACGUUAGCGAGACGAUGGCGUGGUGCCUGCACUUGGCGAUAGCGAUUUCCUCCUGGACAGGUCAAGCACUCUUCCUAGUCCUUUGCCAUGCCAAUCUUGGUCGAGCCUGCAUUUUUUUGGGAUCUAUUUCAGUGAAUUAUCCAUUUGUGAUCAAGAUCUGAAGCAUGACUGAGGAGUAUACUAGCUUGUUUUAUUUGCUUGUUUCCUAGCUGGAUGUAUGUUGUAAAUUAUGGCUCCUAACUUGAUAUAUGCUGUAUAUUCAUCCUGUCAUUUCCUGUUAUACAUGCUGUAUAUAUACAUGACGUAUGCUGUUCAAGCUGGAUUGAUAGAUUGUGUAUAUUAGCUGUUUCCUCGCUUGAUAUAUGCUGUAUGUAUAUAAAUGAUGUCAUUUCCUGUCAUAUGUGGUGUAUGUUGUUCAAGGUAUAUUGAUUUCCUAGCUUGAUAUAUGCUGGAAAUACAUGCUGUCGUUUCCUUUUAUAUAUGCUAUAUACACAUGCUGUUAGAUUAAUAUAUGCUGUAUAAAUAAAUUGUGGUGUUUUAAUUUCCUGUUCAACCAGCCGUGGUAUUGCAUUUGCUAUGAACUUUGAAUCCCCAUUCGGAUAGCUACAGGUUUCUUUUGAAUUGCCAGUUUAUUCUUCUAGCCUAGUGUGUCAUUCUAGAUUUUUAAUGUCAUAUAAUGUGUGCUUUCUAGUAAAUUGGCAGUUAAAUUUGUUAGUUCCAAAAAAGCAGUUUCUACUAUAGCUCAUACAAGUUAACGCUUAUAUGUGAAACACAUAUUCUUGCUGUUAAAUUCGUUUAUGCUUAGACAGCACUGUUGUCAGUUCUGUGACAAGGUCUAAUAUCGAAUUUCUUAGAUCUAGAAGUGUGUGUUUUCCAUAGCAGCAACUAAUGACUGUCUUAGAAAUAACUUAUGUCAAUGUUGUUGCAGUUGAUCAAAAACUUCAGAAGUAAUAUUUUUUCAUUCAAGAUGACAUAACCUCAUUUCUUAAUGAUUAACCAGUAUCAUUGUGUUUCCUUUCAGGAUACUGAGGUUGCUGGUUGCAUAUAGUAGUAGUAUUUUGUUCGAUGAAUCCAUAUGUUUGGAAAUGUUGACAUCGAUGAUGUAAGAUGGAGAAGAUGAUAAAGCUUUGCUUUUUUUUAAGUAUGUCUUUAAGUUGACAGUGUAUGCAAAACGUGUUUUAUUUUAGGCCCAGUUUAGGCGCAUCGGAUCCAGAGAUAAUUGUAGCAAAUUAUGUAAUUUAUCGCCAGCUGGCUGUGAAUAUGGGCUGAAAACAGUAUUGUACAUGGUGAGUUCUAUUGGACUAUUUUUGUCUCGAA